AAGGAACGAAAAGAAUACACUCAUUAAACCGGGAAAAUUUUGAAAAGGUACAUUUAUAUCAAAUGGCCAAUGGCAUCCCUUGAUGACUAACUAAGAAAAAGGGGCUCCGACCAUCCAACGUAGUACUUCCAUGUCAGGACAAACUCAUAUUAAAAAGCGUGUCCGUUCAAAUACAAGACACCAUACUUCAACGGUAAUUUUUUCGUUAAUGUAUAGCGUCUUUUAUUUGAACGCUAUACUCACAAGUGAUUUGACCGUGACAUAUAGCGUCAUCCCAUAUAGCGUGUAAAACAAAAAUGUUUUAAUUUUUGAUAUUUUUUCCGUUUUGUUUUAGUAUUCUCUACCAACCCUUCUACUGUAAGAAGUUUUCCUGCUUCCAAAAUUUCAGUUUUCAAACAAAAUUCUCUGUUUUGGCACUCUUGUUAACUGCUAUUAUACGCUAAAUUCUAAGUUUUUCCCCUCUCUGUAAGUGUUAACUGUUAUAUUCUAUCUUUUUAUAUUUAUUUAUGUUGGUGAAGCAUAAUGGGUGUACUGGGAAAGAUAUCUGUAGGAGAACAAUUUAAAGAUAGAAGACCUUUAAAUGUAAAAAGGAAAGAGAUUUUGUUUAGUUGAUAAAUGAAGAAAUGGAGGUAGUUUGGAAGGUUUAAUAUAUGUAGCUAUAUGGAGAGAGACUUUUGUAAU
rnacentral:lncRNA from 1 species